UACGGGGGGGGGCAAGCGUUGUUCGGAAUUACUGGGCGUAAAGGGCUCGUAGGUGGCCAACUAAGUCAGACGUGAAAUCCCUCGGCUUAACCGGGGAACUGCGUCUGAUACUGGAUGGCUUGGAUUUGGGAGAGGAAUGCGGAAUUCCAGGUGUAGCGGUGAAAUGCGUAGAUAUCUGGAGGAACACCGGUGGCGAAGGCGGCAUCCUGGACCAACACUGACGCUGAGUGAGCGAAAGCCAGGGGAGCAAACGGG
rnacentral:rRNA from 1 species